CACGGAUCGUGGCACACUUAUGUUCAAAGGGGUGACUCUACACUAAACACAGUAUUUCCAUAGCUAAUAUUACUUGCUAAUACUUACCUGUAGGACCUGUUGAGUAAAGUUAACAUGUAUUUGAGUACUUACCAUGAAUAUGUAGACAAAGUAACUGAUAUAAUACUGAGUAUGGGGAGGAUUGAAUGCAGUGCAAAUAUUGCAAAUUGGAAAGCUCCAAUCAAGAGAUAUCUGAAAAAUGUCAUGGCAUCACCAGCAAAGACCUCCUGAAGACUUUCAAUGAGUGCCUUGAGAAUUAUGUGCCUCGCCUGCUCAGACUGUACCGGGCUAGAAAGGAAGCUAUUGGUCAGCAGAUAGAAGACUUCCUGGAUAAGCUUGAUGAACAAACAUCAGACAUUGUGUCUCACCGAAAGAUGACAGCACUGAGAUGCCUCCCCGUUUUUGUCUGGGACGACACAACUAAGUGUGGAGAGACGCAGCCGACGGGCCGACAGCGGGCGGACAGAGGCGUUCUGGACCAAGAUGAAGGCCAGGAGGCGGGGCAUGCGGCGUGACGCACGCGGAGCGGCAGGAGGACGGCCAUCGGAGUCGGGUGCGUAGGACACACAUCUGCUCACAAUCUGCGCAUCUGCUCCUAGACUUUAAGAGAGGCGAAGGGGGCACGAUUGCGAGAGGGAAGACAGGAAAGGAAAGGAAACCACGGCAGCCCGACCACGAGCCCGACGACAGAGAGCAGUCCGCAACGAGUCCCCGCCACAGACGCAGCAGGCGAGCACCAAAGGGUGCAGAGCGACCAGGAAGAGGUGCCAGCGCACUAGAAAUGGGUGCGCCCGACUGGCCCGAAGAAAGGUUGUUUGAACCAAUAAAUGGGAAUCAAACCUGCUACGAUGCGUCGUGUGUUCAAUGUCACAGCAACCCACACGAGGACGGCUGGGAGUUUGUCACAUACGUUUUUCCUGCAGCAUUUGGAAAGUGACCCUGAAGAAAGAGUGCUCAGAGGCGUGUCUGUUGGCAUCUUUACAAUCCUUGAAGAAGAUGAUCCUGCUGUAUCACCCGACUUACGGGACUGGGC